CGUCUAGGCGGUCAGGUAAGUGGGAUGUGAAAUGCCCCGGCUCACCCGGGGACCGGCAUCUCAUACUGCUUGGCUUGAGUACGGGAGAGGAUGUGGGAAUUCCUGGUGUAGCGGUGAAAUGCGUAGAUAUCAGGAGGAACACCGGUGGCGAAGGCGCACAUCUGGCCCGAUACGGACGCUGAAGCGCGAAAGCUAGGGAGCAAACG
rnacentral:rRNA from 1 species